CUUCAUUGCCACAUCAUGUAACUCCCUGCUAUACAACUUGAUUGUUUUAAUAUAGAAAAGUGAAUGCAAUCUGUUGUUCACACUAGUUUAACUUGUUGAAAAUUAAAUUCUCUCUUUUUAUUACUGCAGAUAACUACAUGGCCACAUCUCACUCAUUUCUCUGAUGUCUUUUACCAACGUGACUGGGCUGAUUUCCAUCUCUUUACACUUGUCCUAAAUUUCUUCUCCCUUCAAGAUUCUGUAAAAGGCACCAGGCUCAUUUUCUGCUAUCUGUAAUUCGAAUGUCUCCCUCACUCCUCCUUAGAGGGAUGACAUCCCAAAUAUAUUACCUUUGCCCAAGACUAUGUCGUAGGUGAUUCUGCUUUUGGAGAAACACAAUCUAAGUUCGAGAAUCAGACAUUUCUCCAAGGAGCAGCUCUGGCUCCUUUUACUGAAGAAUGGUAUUUAGAAACCAAGAUCUGGGCACUGUAUGUGCUCCUGGCUACUGGGAUGUCUUUGCUUCUAUACCCUCUAAGCAGACAGAACUAGCCCCCCAGUACAUAGUUGUAUAUUCUUAGUUGUGGAUCCUUCUAGUUGUGGCAUGUGGGAUGCUGCCUCAGCAUGGCUUGAUGAGCGGUGCCAUGUCUGCGCCCAGGAUUUGAAUCAAUGAAACACUGGGCAGCCUGCAGCAGAGUGCCUGAACUUAACCACUCAGCCACGGGGCUGGCCCCUCCAGCUUUAUUGAGCAGGAGAAAGUGUGCAGCAAAG
rnacentral:lncRNA from 1 species